rnacentral:rRNA from 1 species
GAUGAACGCUGACAGAAUGCUUAACACAUGCAAGUCGAUGGGGAAGUGGUGCUUGCACCAUGGCAACCAUGGCGGACGGGUGAGUAACGCGUAAGGGACUUACCUGCAGGACUGGGAUAACAGGGGGAAACUCCUGACAAGACCGGAUAAUGUCAUGGAGCUGCAUGGCUUUAUGAUGAAAGGAGACGCCUGCGGAGAGCCUUGCGUCCUAUUAGCUAGUUGGUGAGGUAAUGGCUCACCAAGGCGAAGAUAGGUAGCCGGCCUGAGAGGGUGGACGGCCACAAGGGGACUGAGAUACGGCCCUUACUCCUACGGGAGGCAGCAGUGGGGAAUAUUGGACAAUGGGGGCAACCCAGAUCCAGCAAUUCUGUGUGCACGAAGAAGGUUUUCGGAUUGUAAAGUGCUUUCAGCAGGGAAGAAGUAAGUGACGGUACCUGCAGAAGAAGCGACGGCUAAAUACGUG